GGAUGAACAGAAAAUUUGGGAUCAGAUCCUGGGAUAUAGGGCAGUGUGGAAGAAGCCUCAGUGGGAGGACCUGAUGAUAUCUUUGUUGAAUGGGAAUUAUUGUCCAACAUUUAGAAAAAAAAAACACUUUGGGAAAGGCUGUUGCUUGCCCACUGUGCCACAUUUGUUACCUAGCUGUAGAAGCAUAGCCAAAAUAGUCUGGCAAAAGGCAUUAUAGAUAGAACAACAUUUUGAGAUUGCAUGUGAAAUAAAACAAUGAAAGAGCAUUGUUUUUUUCUGUGUGUUUUUCCUCUACAGUUGAAUGUUGAAGGCAGAACUUAAGGGAAGAACAGCUUCACAAAACAGGAGCUGUCACUUCAGCCUCUGAAGCUAUUACACUGUCCAGAAAAGCAGACAAAAGUAUCAUUUUAUACAGGACCACAUGGGAAGACAAUCAACCUAGUUUGGCUGAGCAAAGGCACAAAGUAAAGUGCAUGAUUAAAUGGUACUUGAAGUGUGUUUUCUCUGUUCAUAUUACGUGAAUAAAAUCUCUAGGAAAAUACAGUUUAAUAUAGGCAAUUAAAAUCUGUAUAUCUUCAAGAGAAAAUGGCUGAAUCCUGCAUAAUAGAAGCAAGCAAGAAAUAUGUUUUUGUGAAACCAAAUGAAGAAGUGAACAGAGCAGGCAAAAUAUUUUUGGACAAAAAAUACUCAUCAGAUUGUAAAAAUGGUUUUUUUAGGAGAAACUACAGGAGGUACUACAAGAGUGAAAGAAGAAAAUGGACUAAUUACAGAACACAUUUUUAUUUAGGCAUGAUCAACGUUUCUCUUCUUCUUCUUAAUGUUUGUUUAUAUUCCGUUUUAUAUGCAGAGAAAAGAAAUGAAACAUGCCCAGUUCUCCCCCCUGCUGCCCUUGUUGUUCCCUGUCCAAAGGGCUGGAUUGGGUAUCAGAGGAAAUGCUACUACUUUUCAGAGACUGAAGGAAACUGGACCUUUGGCAGCAAAUACUGUUCCUCCCACAAUGCCUCCUUGGCUGUGGUUGACUCCCAAGAAGAAAUGGAGUUCCUUUUACGCUACAAGCGCCCUCCCGAUCACUGGAUUGGUCUCCGGAAAGAUUCUGGUCAACCCUGGAGAUGGGUAAAUGUCAGCCUUUCCCCAGAACAACUCUGGGGACUUCCCACUGAAGAGGGAAAAAGAUGUGCAUAUUUGAACCAUAAAGGUAUUGCCAGCUCCAGUUGCACAAGAGAAGAACCCUGGAUUUGUAGCAGGGAGAUAACUUGAGACAUUGCCUGAACUUCUGAAGCCAUUAUUUCUGCUGUGCACAUACACUGAGGCACUCCAAAAGGUAUAAUGGCCCAUUGCUUGAUCCUUCUGGAAAUAUAAGGAGAAAGGACAUGAAGCUCCUUAAGUUUGGUUUAAUCCCAUUGUUGCUUCUUCAUAUGGUUUGUGCCUAAUUUUCUGGAGAUGGAAGAAUGCAAAGAAGUCAUUGUUAAUCUAUCAAAUGCUUGCUGCAUCAGGAUGUUUUCUGUCAUCAAAAAGGGUUUUUUUUGAGUGGUGCAGUACCUCAGAACUUACUAGUGGGGCAGAUGAUUCACUUUAUAUUUGAAAACAAUAUCUUCCCCAUUUCAAUUUUAGUCUUCCAAAUUUCAGAAUGUUUUGGUCAUCUGAUUUUUUUGGAAAUGUAUAAAGAUCCUACGAAUAAAAUCUUUUUAAAAAAACAAAGGAGGUACACCCUUGAAUUUCUGCACAGAGACAAAAUAUGAGUACGGCAUCAGUCCUGCAAAGUUUCAGAAUGUUUUAGUCAUCUACUGAGUUUAAAUAAUUUUUAAAACUUUUUACAAAUAAAAUAUCUUUUAAAAAUCCAUAAGAGGUAUUCCCUUGAAUUUCUCCACAGCA